GGGAAGAAUGCAGGGGCAAGGAGGGAGGGAUAAUGAUGGGUUUUCUGCUAAAUGCAGAGCAUCCUUCCAAUCGUCUCUGCUGGGAGUGGGGGAGUGGGGAGGCAUGUCCUGGCCGGACCCCUCUCGUGCUCAGUCCCCCACCAUGUCUUCUGCCCACUGGGCAGGCUGCAGUCAGUGAUGGGGCCAGGACUGUCUUACUCCAAAAGAAAGCGUUUCAGCGGAUACAGCUGCUACCAGGAUUCAUGGCCUCAUUUUUGGGAGGCUAGCCUGUCCUUCCUCUCCAGGCGGGCCACUCUGGAGGCCUCCCCAGCAUCCGGCGGGUGUCUCUGGCUGAGGACAAACAACAGACAGCCCAGCAAAGCCUCUCGCAUAUCCUGAGAGCCCAGGCGGUGGGCCAGCCGGCGCAGCAGGGGCAGGAAGUGCCGGCGGGCCAGGCGGGCAGCAGGCAGCAGCAGGCGGGCCAGCAGUGUCCGUAGCAGCAGCGGGAGCAGCAGAGUGGGCAUGGCCAGUGACUUCCAAGGCGAUCUAGUCUCUAGGCUUGCCUUUCCUGCUCCCUCCUCACCUGGCAAAGACAUGAGCAUGUGGGAUCCAAGUUCCCAGACCAAGGAUCAAACCUGCACCCCCUGCAUUGGAAGCGCAGAGUCUUAACCACCCCCUCAUUCUUCUACUUCAUAGAAUGGGUAUAAUUUCUGCCUUGAUGGACUCAGAUGAGAUAAUGGCCGUGAAAGGGUUUUGUAAGAAUAAGGACAUGGGAAUAUGAUCGUUUAUCAUCAAUCCACCGCCAUCCCCCAUUAACAUCAUCACCAUCUCCAAAACCAUCAAAGACCUUGAAGAAAGAAAACUUCCAAUUUUGUCGAAAAGGUCUGUCCCCCUUCUUCCUGGAGGAAGUUGGGCCGGGAGAGGAGCUAAAGUACAGAUGUGUAGUUCACUACCCACAUUCGUAAAUCCUGUUGGCUCUGCUUUCAAAAUAUUCGGAAUCGGGCUUCCCAGAAUCUGCCUGCUGAUGCAAGGGACACGGGUUCCAGCCAUGGUCUGGGAGGAUCCCACAUGCCGCAGAGCAACUGGACACGUGAGCCACAACUACUGAGCUGGAGCAACUGGGCCCGUGAGCCACAACUACUGAGCCUGCGUGUCUGGAACCUGUGCUCCUCAACAAGAGAGGCCGCGAUAGUGAGAGGCCCGCGCACCCCAAUGAAGAGUGGCCCCCACUCGCCGCAACUAGAGAAAGCCCUCGCACAGAAACGAAGACCCAACACAGCCAAAAAUAAAUAAAUUAAUUAAAAAAAAAAAAAACUCAGAAUCUCCCCACUUCUCACCAGUGCUGCCCUGACUACCCUCGUCUGAGCAUUUGUCAUCUUUCACCUGAAUUAUUGUAGUAGCCUCCUAACUGGUUUUCCUGUUUCUCUUUUCCACACAGUGACCAGAAUGACCUUUCUAAAACAUGAGUCAGAUCCUGUCCUUUUGGCUCCCUUUUCAUUCAGAGUUAAAGCCAAAGGCUUUAAUUGUGACCUGUAAGGCCCUGGGUGUCUGACCUCCCCCUGGCUUCCUGAUUCAACUUCUAGCCCUUUUCUCUCUCACUCUGCCUGCCCCACUGGCCUCCUGCUGCUCUUAACUGUGCCAGACAUGUUUCUGCCUCAGGGCCUUUGCGCGUACUAUUGCUCCUGCCUACAAGGCUCUUUCUCCAGGUAUCCACAUGGCUCCACCUCUCACCGCCUUUAAGUCUUUGCCCAGAUGUUACCCAUCCAUCCUAUUUAACAGUACAUUCCCUCCACCCCAUCUCCUGCUGCCUUCUCUCCAUCCCCUCCUCUGCUUUAUUUAUCUCCUCAGCAAAUCCUUCUGACAGGCUAUGUAUCUUCCUUCCUUAUCUUGCUGAUUAUCUGCCUCCCUCACUAGAAUGUAAACUCCAUGAGAGUAGGGACUUAUGUCUACUUUGUC